UACGUAGGUGGCAAGCGUUGUCCGGAUUUAUUGGGUUUAAAGGGUGCGUAGGCGGCUUUGUAAGUCAGUGGUGAAAUAUGGCAGCUCAACUGUCAGGGUGCCAAUGAUACUGCGGAGCUUGAGUACAGAUGAGGUAGGCGGAAUUGACGGUGUAGCGGUGAAAUGCUUAGAUAUCGUCAAGAACACCGAUAGCGAAGGCAGCUUACUAGGCUGUAACUGACGCUGAGGCACGAAAGUGUGGGGAUCAAACAGG
rnacentral:rRNA from 1 species